UCAGCCUGCGCCAUUUCAUGACAGAACUUGGUAUGUAUCAUCACUCCCAGUUUCUGUUAUUAAAAAAGCUUGAAAACAAACAGCAUUGUCAUGAUUACAGCAGAAAUACCAGUGGAAACAAUAUUUAAACCCAAGUUACUAAUAUUGUCUCAUUCCUGGCACAUAGGAAUCACAUGGAAAUAUUGCAGCUUGGGAAAAGUUCGGCCUUUGCAGAACAGUGACAGCCCAAGGACGUGUUCUGGAGACCUUCGAAUGGUUUGGAGGGAGAAAAAGACUGCUAAAACUACUGUAAACUCAUCAAACAGGUCUCCAGAGAAAAGCCAUGAAAAACAUCAGUAGAAGAACAUAUCAGGGUGACAUCCCCGUGGACCCCAGAGUCAGGGUGACCAUAAAGAGACCCUGUGUUUCACCCCCAUGUCCUGAUGGAGAAAGGUCAGGGGUCAUAAGGAGCAUGGAUAUGUCCAUUCCCAGAGGGGCUGAAGGGUAAUGGAAUGGCAGAUUCUGGCCAAACGGAGCAAUUUGCACUUAUCUCAUCUGAACAUGGAAGAAAAGAGAAAGACAUGAAUGGCUUUCCCACAUCAAGUGCAUUCAAAUGAGCCACAGUGACAGAGGGUCUGAUGGGACGUAUUGAUGCCCAGGUGAUGAAGCUGAUCCUGGGGCGCUAGAAAGAUGGAUCCCCUUUAUCUGCUCCCCCCUCCAGCGCCACUAACCGCAAUCAGAGCCACCGUGAGCUGCUUCAACUCUGGGAGAGCAAUGAGACUCUGGAGACCAACCAAGCUAUUGCUUUGAUCUGAAAGAGAGAGGGAGAGAGACCGAGAGGGAAGGUCCUCAUCUUGCCCCGGCCCUUUAGGAGAGGUCAUAAAAACCGUCUCCAUUAGGCAGACGCUUCAAUCUCGGCACCAAUAUUUACUUUACAGGCCUUCAUCAGUGAUAUCAUUCUAGACUCAGUGUCUCUUUUUAGCUGUCUGUUGCAUCUGAGAUUCAACUACUAAAGUGUUUGUGCAAUUUCCAUUAGAGCAGUGUUAAAGCUCAGGGAUGCAGUCAAAGCUGGAAAUAAGAUCAAAAGCACACAUUUGUUUGACUAAAUUACAUUUUUGUCUCAAAUUCUUCCUAGGUAAUAACUAACCUUUUAAUUAAAGAUAAAAGUUUUAAUUCUUUUUAUAAAAGAAAGAUAAGACAGGGUGAUGACCUCAUAUAUUUUUUUUAUCAGAUUUUCAUUAAAUGUGAAUGGUAGGGGUUGGAUUAAAAGGUGAGAUGAUCAGAUACUUGCGCUUGUAAUAUUGAAGGUUAAGAUUGGAAUGUGUGUGUAUAUACAUGUGGAUC